UGUUAGUCUGUUCAUGUAUAGUUUUCUUCAUUAAAGAACCAUGAAUAGAAACCACGCUGCAUUUUUGUCCGACUCUCCUUCACCUCAAGAAAAACGUUAGUGCCGAGGAACAAACCAGGCAUCUAUGGAAACGUCACCUUCUUCCUAGGCUGGAUCUAUGAACAAAUGCAGAAAUAAAGAAACUGAGAAAUCACUGGUGGACAAUCAGAAUGAAAUGGUGGAAACAUUGUAUUUUUUUCUGAAUAGAAAAGCCAGAAAGAGAUGUUUGUACGUACAGUGUGUCAUCAGAAAUGCAAUAUUUGUGCUACAUAUUGAAUUUGUCAUAUGUAUGUAUGUAUUCAUUAAAUGACCACUUCUACAUCCUGA